UACGUAGGUGGCAAGCGUUGUCCGGAAUUAUUGGGCGUAAAGAGCUCGUAGGCGGCUUGUCGCGUCGACUGUGAAAUCCCGCGGCUCAACUGCGGGUCUGCAGUCGAUACGGGCAGGCUAGAGUUCGGUAGGGGAGACUGGAAUUCCUGGUGUAGCGGUGAAAUGCGCAGAUAUCAGGAGGAACACCGGUGGCGAAGGCGGGUCUCUGGGCCGAUACUGACGCUGAGGAGCGAAAGCGUGGGGAGCAAACAGG
rnacentral:rRNA from 1 species